rnacentral:rRNA from 1 species
AGAGUUUGAUCCUGGCUCAGAACGAACGCUGGCGGCAGGCCUAACACAUGCAAGUCGAGCGCGCCUUCGGGCGAGCGGCGGACGGGUUAGUAACGCGUGGGAACGUGCCCAGAUCUACGGAAUAGCCACUGGAAACGGUGAGUAAUACCGUAUACGCCCUUCGGGGGAAAGAUUUAUCGGAUUUGGAUCGGCCCGCGUUAGAUUAGGUAGUUGGUGGGGUAACGGCCUACCAAGCCUACGAUCUAUAGCUGGUUUUAGAGGAUGAUCAGCAACACUGGGACUGAGACACGGCCCAGACUCCUACGGGAGGCAGCAGUGGGGAAUCUUGGACAAUGGGGGCAACCCUGAUCCAGCCAUGCCGCGUGAGUGAAGAAGGCCCUAGGGUCGUAAAACUCUUUCGCCUGUGAUGAUAAUGACAGUAGCAGGUAAAGAAACCCCGGCUAACUCCGUGCCAGCAGCCGCGGUAAUACGGAGGGGGUUAGCGUUGUUCGGAAUUACUGGGCGUAAAGCGCACGUAGGCGGAUUAGAAAGUUAGAGGUGAAAUCCCGGGGCUCAACCCCGGAACUGCCUUUAAAACUACUAGUCUAGAGUUCGAGAGAGGUGAGUGGAAUUCCGAGUGUAGAGGUGAAAUUCGUAGAUAUUCGGAGGAACACCAGUGGCGAAGGCGGCUCACUGGCUCGAUACUGACGCUGAGGUGCGAAAGUGUGGGGAGCAAACAGGAUUAGAUACCCUGGUAGUCCACACCGUAAACGAUGAAUGCCAGUCGUCGGGUAGUAUACUAUUCGGUGACACACCUAACGGAUUAAGCAUUCCGCCUGGGGAGUACGGUCGCAAGAUUAAAACUCAAAGGAAUUGACGG